GACGAACGCCGGCGGCGUGCUUAACACAUGCAAGUCGAACGGAAAGGCCCUGCUUUUGUGGGGUGCUCGAGUGGCGAACGGGUGAGUAACACGUGAGUAACCUGCCCUUGACUUUGGGAUAACUUCAGGAAACUGGGGCUAAUACCGGAUAGGAGCUCCUGCUGCAUGGUGGGGGUUGGAAAGUUUCGGCGGUUGGGGAUGGACUCGCGGCUUAUCAGCUUGUUGGUGGGGUAGUGGCUUACCAAGGCUUUGACGGGUAGCCGGCCUGAGAGGGUGACCGGCCACAUUGGGACUGAGAUACGGCCCAGACUCCUACGGGAGGCAGCAGUGGGGAAUAUUGCACAAUGGGCGGAAGCCUGAUGCAGCAACGCCGCGUGCGGGAUGACGGCCUUCGGGUUGUAAACCGCUUUCGCCUGUGGCGAAGCGUGAGUGACGGUAAUGGGUAAAGAAGCACCGGCUAACUACGUG
rnacentral:rRNA from 1 species